rnacentral:lncRNA from 1 species
AUGAAAGAUGUGUCAAAAAUAUUUUAUUAUCUAGUACUUGGUGAGACAAGACCCUCUUCGUGGAGGAACGACACAGGACCCUGCGCUAUUCUUUCGUCUGCUCGGCCCUCCCCGGGUUGGCUACCGUCCCUUCCACCUCCGUGGAAGGGCGGUUCCCCCUGGCCACUUUCCCCACUUCCGCAGGGGAGCGGCACACCGCCGGCCGGCUCUCUCGGGGGCUGCACAGGUGUUCCCCUUAGAUGUUCCCCUUAGAUGUUCCUGGUGCAUGUUGUCUCUCUCCUCCUUUAUAGUCCUCCUCCGCCAAUCCUAACUCGGCUGCCCACACGCCGAGUAUGCUGCUCUCGUCCAAUCAGGAGCAGGAUCAGCUCCUGGAGGUCAUCACUCAAGUUGGCAAGAGGCAGCUGCGUAGAAGCUGCUUUCUCCUCUCCCAGCGCCAUAUUGUGGGAGAGCAGAUGCAUAGAAUAAGUCUUAAUUCCAGUAACUUGGUCCAGUCCGGGUUGCUCCCCACACUUGUUGACUAAGUACAUUUUUUAUUUUUUGAAUUAUCUAUUGAGCACUUUGCCUAUUUAUCUUCUAUAGUUUUAAAGAAUUAUUUGCCAGGUAGACUACAGAUCCCAGGGAGAUGCUUGAAGUUAGGGGAUGAAAGAGGGAGGAAAGUCAGGAUUUGAGGAAAUGUUCCCCACUGAUUGCUAAAAUGGACAAAUACUUUCUCAAGUUCAGAAUCCGCCUACCUAUAACAUCUGGAGAGAUGAUGAAAUAACCUACCUUCCUUUUUAAGACACAAAGUAAGCUCUACCAAUUAAACAACUGGUACACAGAAGUAUUUAAACACACAGUGUUGGGGCAGGCAUUUGGUUAAGACACUGCUUAGGACACACACCCCCUGUAUUGGAAAGCCUGGGUUCAAAUCCCAUCUCCACUUCUGAGUUCAGUAUUCUGCUAAGGUGUGUACUAGGAGGCAGCAGGUAAUGGCUCACAUACUUGGGUCCCUGUUACCCAUGUAGGAGGCCCAGAUUGAAUUCGAGGUCCCUGGCUUUGGCCUGGCCCAGCCCUGGCGGUUGUGGUCAUUUGGAGAGUGAACUAGCAGACAGAAGAUCACUCUGUCAAAGUCUACUUGUCUCUCUGCCUCUCAAAUAAAAAUAAAUGAUUUAAAAAAAGGUUAAACA